UACGGAGGGUGCAAGCGUUAAUCGGAAUUACUGGGCGUAAAGCGCACGCAGGUGGCUGAGUCAGUCGAUUGUGAAAGCCCUGGGCUUAACCUGGGAAUUGCAGUCGAUACUACUCAGCUAGAGUAUGGGAGAGGGCAGUGGAAUUCCCGGUGUAGCGGUGAAAUGCGUAGAUAUCGGGAGGAACAUCAGUGGCGAAGGCGGCUGCCUGGCCCAAUACUGACACUCAGGUGCGACAGCGUGGGGAGCAACAGG
rnacentral:rRNA from 1 species